rnacentral:rRNA from 1 species
UUACUGGCUUGACAUCUAUGAAAGCUAGCAAUAAACAGGUGCUGCAUGGCUGUCGUCAGCUCGUGUCGUGAGAUGUUGGGUUAAGUCCCGCAACGAGCGCAACCCUGUGCCUGUUGCCAGCGUACGGGACUCUGGCAGANUGCCUAGUUCAAUAGGAGGAAGGUGGGGAUGACGUCAAGUCCGUAUGGCNCUUACGCCGGGCUGCACACGUACUACAAUGCGGUACAUUUGCCACCGCGAGGGGAGGAAUCUAUAACCGGCUCAGUUCAGAUUGGAGGCUGCAAUUCGCCUCCAUGAAGCUGGAAUCGCUAGUAACGGCGAUCAGCACGCGCCGUGAAUACGUUCCCGGGUCUNGUACACACCGCCCGUCACAUCAUGGAAGCUGGCUGCUGAA